rfam:Rattus norvegicus chromosome 3, whole genome shotgun sequence.
GGGGAUUUAGCUCAGUGGUAGAGCGCUUGCCUAGGAGGCGCAAGGCCCUGGGUUCGGUCCCCAGCUGCCCCA